ACGAUGAAUACUAGGUGUAGGGGUUGUCAUGACUUCUGUGCCGCCGCUAACGCAUUAAGUAUUCCGCCUGGGGAGUACGGUCGCAAGAUUAAAACUCAAAGGAAUUGACGGGGGCCCGCACAAGCAGCGGAGCAUGUGGUUUAAUUCGAAGCAACGCGAAGAACCUUACCUAGACUUGACAUCUCCUGCAUUACCCUUAAUCGGGGAAGUUCCUUCGGGGACAGGAAGACAGGUGGUGCAUGGUUGUCGUCAGCUCGUGUCGUGAGAUGUUGGGUUAAGUCCCGCAACGAGCGCAACCCUUAUUGUUAGUUGCUACCAUUUAGUUGAGCACUCUAGCGAGACUGCCCGGGUUAACCGGGAGGAAGGUGGGGAUGACGUCAAAUCAUCAUGCCCCUUAUGUCUAGGGCUACACACGUGCUACAAUGGCAAGUACAAAGAGAAGCAAGACCGUGAGGUGGAGCAAAACUCAAAAACUUGUCUCAGUUCGGAUUGUAGGCUGAAACUCGCCUACAUGAAGCUGGAGUUGCUAGUAAUCGCGAAUCAGCAUGUCGCGGUGAAUACGUUCCCGGGCCUUGUACACACCGCCCGUCACACCAUGAGAGUUGGCAAUACCCAACGUACGUGAUCUAACCCGCAAGGGAGGAAGCGUCCUAAGGUAGGGUCAGCGAUUGGGGUGAAGUCGUAACAAGGUAGCCG
rnacentral:rRNA from 1 species